rnacentral:misc_RNA from 1 species
GGCGCAUGUUGGGUGGUGGCUCGUGGAAACCACAUGUUCCUCUUUCUUCUCUGCGCGCUGUCUGUAGCUUCCAAUCUUCUCCCCUCUCUAUUUCUCCGAUCAGGUUUUCCAAUUGAAUUUGAAACCCUAGAAUUCUUUUCUGUUUUUUGAAUUUUAGCUAUGUGCUAGAAAGAUAUAGGAGGAAACUGGGGAGAGUGAGGAGUUUAACUAGAAUGGAUCAAUGGAAGACAACAACCAACGAUUUCUCUCAAUCUUUGGCGGCAGAUGUAGCUCCUUCGACUUCUCCUCACUCCAUGACCCCCUCCAACUCCAUCCCCGAACGCAGACAUAGGCUGGAACCGGAGGUCAAGGAUCCAAUUGCUGCAAGAAAGUUUCAGAAAGCAGACAGGGAGAAAUUGAGGAGAGACCGUCUGAAUGAGCAGUUUCUUGAGCUGGGAAACACAUUAGACCCAGAUAGACCCAAGAAUGACAAGGCAACCAUUUUGACUGACGCAAUUCAAAUGCUGAAGGAUCUAACAGCUGAAGUCAGCAGACUAAAGGCUGAUUACACUGCACUUUCGGAAGAAUCACAUGAGCUAAUGCAGGAGAAGAAUGAGCUGAGAGAAGAAAAGGCAUCUUUAAAAUCUGAUAUUGAAAACUUAAAUUCUCAGUGUCAACAAAGGCUCAGGGUUAUGUUUCCAUGGCCUGCCGUUGAUCCUUCUGUUGUCAUGGGUCCUACUUAUCCAUAUCCAGUCCCCUUACCUGUCCCACCUGGUCCAAUUCCCAUGCAUCCAUCAAUGCAGCCAUUUCCCUUCUUUAGAAAUCAAAAUCCUAAUGUAAUUCCUAGUCCUUGCUCAACCUUUAUUCCAUACCCAACUCCUGCUAAUCCUCCACAUGAACAGCCAUCGGUCCAAUAUGCUUCCACUUCCCUUAUUUCAAGCAAACUGGAUUCCAAAAGCAAGUCAGCAGAUCAUCCAAGGGGCAGCAAUGCAGAAAGGCGUGAUGAUUCUAAUGAUGUUGCAACAGAACUUGAACUGAAAAUGCCUGGAUCAUCACCUCAACAGGAUAAGUCAACUGGAGAAAGGAAAGGCAAGCAAUUGCAUGGAAAGGAAAAAAAUACUACAAAUGGUAGCUCCUCAAGCAGGUAUUCUUUUUCCCAUGGUAUUCAGGAUAGUUCCUCUAAUAGUGUGGGCGAUGUCACAAAAUCCACUAAUUGAUAUACUGCUUGGUUUUCCUAUUGGCUUUCUCCGAAUUCUAACAUACAAAAGUAGUGCAACUCAUUGUGACUCGUGGGAAAUAAUGCCCAUAGCUUGAGUUUUGGCUGUAACAAAUUUGAUGUCUCUUGUGACCAAUUCUGAGUUUGGAAGCGAGGUGAAUUAUGCUGGCAACUGGUCAGCAAUGAUGGAAAUUGGUGUUAAUCUCUUAGUUGUCCUUAGCUCCUGAAGAACCUGGGUUGGGUUCACCAUUCGCCCCUCCCAUACUUUUACUCAAGUAACUUGUCCAGAAUGUAUUCCAGUUGCUGACCAACUGAGAAAAUGCUUCUAACAUGCCUACAGAUCUCUCCUACGCUUGAUAGCUUGCUGUCUAGUAGGUUUUAAGUGGAUAAAAUUCUAUGUAAAUAAGUACAAAAGUGUCCGACUCUUUAAUUGACCAUUUAAUUUAGUGGUACAUUGCCUUUUUGGGUGUAAUUUACAUAUGAAAUUAUCCAUUGCCAUUUACAGAUCUUGCAGUGACAGUGAAAACUGUGUAAAAUAUAUAACUCCUUUGUUCUUGAUGGAAGAACCAUAAUGAGUUAAAACACAGUUAUUUUUCCCAUCUUAGUAGAGACAAAUUAUGCACUGAAAUAGAAAAUGAGUUCUUUAUGGUAAUUGCAUUUUAACUGAAAGAGUUUCCUUAUUGGUUAUGUUUGUUUCUUGAAUUGGACUGCCGUGGGUGUUGAAUGGUUACAGACAAGUCACACCUCUUCAAGGACAGUGCAGACUCUAAUUCUGCAGCUUUAUCUGUAAGGUUAUAAGUGUUAUAAAAAUGGUUGAUUUGUUUUACCAUCUCUUAUUCCCAUCAAGCAGGACUAAACUUGCAGAUCAUUUAACUUAAUGGAUCAGUAUCAGUAAAUUUCAUGAGAAUAGAAAGGGAAGAGAAGUAAUUAUUAUUAUUAUUAUUUAGAAGCGUUGAAGGACAAAGAACAGUAAUUAGUCUUACUGGUGGUGGAGAUGAAGCAUGAAGGAAAACAAAACGUUGAUGUUAAGAAAAUAUUUUCAAUACUAUCAAGUUCAGAUUUAUUUUUAAAUAGAAGGCAAUUUUGAAAUUGAAACCGCAGAAUGAAGGAAACGUUUAAAAUAACAAAAUAGCAGAACCUGCUCUGCCUAGCGUAUGCCUACUCAAAUUUCAUGGGCAAAUUUCACUUAUGGUAUAUAAAUUUUGGGGUCGGUAACACUAUUGAAUAUAAACUUUAAAAUUUCACUUAAAAUCUCAUAAACUAUUGUAAAUGUCAUUUUAAACCUCAUAUAAUCUACAACAACCCAUUUAAAAGUUAAAGGAUGAUGUGGCAUGUCUAGGUAAAGAUUAAAAUUUAUCUUUGGCUCUUUUCUCUCUCUUUCAAUGUAUAAUAUUUUACUGUCUCACUUUCUCAUCUUUAUUUAUCUUUAAAACUUUGUCUCUCUCAUUUCUCUCUCUUUCUGCUAGAAGGUGAAAUUGUGCUUUUUUUACUCUCUUUUUUUCUUCACGUUUGUAGGUGAAGAAUAUUCUUAUGUUUUUCUUUUACUUUCUUCUGUUGAUGAUGUCUCAGUUUGAUGGGAGAGGGCUAUCAAUCAAUGACAUUCCUUUGUCAAUGUGAAGAACAGGCGAAAAUAAGAAUAUCAUGGAUCAAUGCAAACACCAGAAAGAAGCUUUUCAAAUCAAAUAUUACUAUUCAAAUAUAUAUUGUUAAAGCAAUCAGUUUGUAACUAAUCUUGAUUGUUGGCCAUUUUUGCUUCCACAGUUGUGAAAUUGACAAUGGUCCUUCAAAUCUUCUCAUUCGAAUCAACUGAUAAUAAAAAAUAGCGUAC